CGUGUAGGCGGUGCGGUAAGUUGGGCGUGAAAUCCCCGAGCUUAACUCGGGUGGGCCGUUCAAGACUGCCGUGCUAGGGUGUGGGAGAGGGAAGUGGAAUUUCCGGUGUAGCGGUGAAAUGCGUAGAUAUCGGGAGGAACACCUGCGGCGAAGGCGGCUUCCUGGACCGUAACCGACGCUGAGGCGCGAAAGCUAGGGGAGCAAACAGGAUUAGAUACCCUGGUAGUCCUAGCCCUAAACGAUGAGCACUGGGUGUGGCCCCUCACGGGGCCGUGCCGAAGCUAACGCAUUAAGUGCUCCGCCUGGGGAGUACGGUCGCAAGGCUGAA
rnacentral:rRNA from 1 species